ACAACAACAAUAAAAACCGUAGUAACCCCACAACAAGAACAAUACGCACCGACUCCAGCACAACAAGAACAAAACCGCGGAGGCGCAGCUAACUGAUUCUUUUGGAGAGGAGUUGCCAUUGGGGCUCGCCCCACGACCAGGCCGAGAACAAUAAAACUGCUUACUCAGGCAGCACCCGAACUGGUUGGAUCGAAUGAUCACGGCACCAUCAGCAUCCAAAGCAAUCCGUUUGCUCUUGACCCUCGAUUCGAGGGCAUAUCCAGAGAUCACGAAUCUGCUGGUACGGGUCAAACAAAAAGAACAGCAAGCCCGGCUCAAUAAUAAAAACAAAGCACGCACCAGUUUGGGGGGGAGCUUCGGCUCCCCCAGUAGCUUUGACACACUCCCGCCGCUUCCUUCACC
rnacentral:sRNA from 1 species